AUUGAACGCUGGCGGCAUGCCUUACACAUGCAAGUCGAACGGUAACGCGGGGCAACCUGGCGACGAGUGGCGAACGGGUGAGUAAUGCGUCGGAACGUGCCCAGUAGUGGGGGAUAGCCCGGCGAAAGCCGGAUUAAUACCGCAUACGACCUACGGGUGAAAGCGGGGGACCGUAAGGCCUCGCGCUAUUGGAGCGGCCGAUGUCAGAUUAGGUAGUUGGUGGGGUAAAGGCCUACCAAGCCUUCGAUCUGUAGCUGGUCUGAGAGGACGACCAGCCACACUGGGACUGAGACACGGCCCAGACUCCUACGGGAGGCAGCAGUGGGGAAUUUUGGACAAUGGGCGCAAGCCUGAUCCAGCAAUGCCGCGUGAGUGAAGAAGGCCUCGGUUGUAAGACUCUUUCAGUCGAGAAGAAAAGGACUGCAGUGAAUAACU
rnacentral:rRNA from 1 species